rnacentral:rRNA from 1 species
UACGAAGGGGGCUAGCGUUGCUCGGAAUCACUGGGCGUAAAGGGUGCGUAGGCGGGGCUUUAAGUCAGGGGUGAAAUCCUGGAGCUCAACUCCAGAACUGCCUUUGAUACUGAAGAUCUUGAGUUCGGGAGAGGUGAGUGGAACUGCGAGUGUAGAGGUGAAAUUCGUAGAUAUCGGGAGGAACACCAGUGGCGAAGGCGGCGACCUGGGCCAAUAUUGACGCUGAGGUGCGAAAGCGUGGGGAGCAAACAGG